rnacentral:rRNA from 1 species
GACGAACGCUGGCGGCGUGCUUAACACAUGCAAGUCGAACGAAGAGCGACGGAAGCUUGCUUCUAUCAAUCUUAGUGGCGAACGGGUGAGUAACGCGUAAUCAACCUGCCCUUCAGAGGGGGACAACAGUUGGAAACGACUGCUAAUACCGCAUACGAUCUAACCUCGGCAUCGAGGAUAGAUGAAAGGUGGCCUCUACAUGUAAGCUAUCACUGAAGGAGGGGAUUGCGUCUGAUUAGCUAGUUGGAGGGGUAACGGCCCACCAAGGCGAUGAUCAGUAGCCGGUCUGAGAGGAUGAACGGCCACAUUGGGACUGAGACACGGCCCAGACUCCUACGGGAGGCAGCAGUGGGGAAUCUUCCGCAAUGGACGGAAGUCUGACGGAGCAACGCCGCGUGAGUGAUGACGGCCUUCGGGUUGUAAAGCUCUGUUAAUCGGGACGAAAGGCCUUCUUGCGAAUAGUGAGAAGGAUUGACGGUACCGGAAUAGAAAGCCACGGCUAACUACGUG